rnacentral:rRNA from 1 species
AGCGUACACGGUGGAUGCCCUGGCAGUCAGAGGCGAUGAAGGACGUGCUAAUCUGCGAUAAGCGUCGGUAAGGUGAUAUGAACCGUUAUAACCGGCGAUUUCCGAAUGGGGAAACCCAGUGUGAUUCGUCACACUAUCAUUAACUGAAUCCAUAGGUUAAUGAGGCGAACCGGGGGAACUGAAACAUCUAAGUACCCCGAGGAAAAGAAAUCAACCGAGAUUCCCCCAGUAGCGGCGAGCGAACGGGGAGCAGCCCAGAGCCUGAAUCAGUGUGUGUGUUAGUGGAAGCGUCUGGAAAGGCGCGCGAUACAGGGUGACAGCCCCGUACACAAAAAUGCACAUACUGUGAGCUCGAUGAGUAGGGCGGGACACGUGGUAUCCUGUCUGAAUAUGGGGGGACCAUCCUCCAAGGCUAAAUACUCCUGACUGACCGAUAGUGAACCAGUACCGUGAGGGAAAGGCGAAAAGAACCCCGGCGAGGGGAGUGAAAAAGAACCUGAAACCGUGUACGUACAAGCAGUGGGAGCACAGAGCAAUCUGUGUGACUGCGUACCUUUUGUAUAAUGGGUCAGCGACUUAUAUUCUGUAGCAAGGUUAACCGAAUAGGGGAGCCGAAGGGAAACCGAGUCUUAACUGGGCGUUAAGUUGCAGGGUAUAGACCCGAAACCCGGUGAUCUAGCCAUGGGCAGGUUGAAGGUUGGGUAACACUAACUGGAGGACCGAACCGACUAAUGUUGAAAAAUUAGCGGAUGACUUGUGGCUGGGGGUGAAAGGCCAAUCAAACCGGGAGAUAGCUGGUUCUCCCCGAAAGCUAUUUAGGUAGCGCCUCGUGAAUUCAUCUCCGGGGGUAGAGCACUGUUUCGGCAAGGGGGUCAUCCCGACUUACCAACCCGAUGCAAACUGCGAAUACCGGAGAAUGUUAUCACGGGAGACACACGGCGGGUGCUAACGUCCGUCGUGAAGAGGGAAACAACCCAGACCGCCAGCUAAGGUCCCAAAGUCAUGGUUAAGUGGGAAACGAUGUGGGAAGGCCCAGACAGCCAGGAUGUUGGCUUAGAAGCAGCCAUCAUUUAAAGAAAGCGUAAUAGCUCACUGGUCGAGUCGGCCUGCGCGGAAGAUGUAACGGGGCUAAACCAUGCACCGAAGCUGCGGCAGCGACGCUUAUGCGUUGUUGGGUAGGGGAGCGUUCUGUAAGCCUGUGAAGGUGUGCUGUGAGGCAUGCUGGAGGUAUCAGAAGUGCGAAUGCUGACAUAAGUAACGAUAAAGCGGGUGAAAAGCCCGCUCGCCGGAAGACCAAGGGUUCCUGUCCAACGUUAAUCGGGGCAGGGUGAGUCGACCCCUAAGGCGAGGCCGAAAGGCGUAGUCGAUGGGAAACAGGUUAAUAUUCCUGUACUUGGUGUUACUGCGAAGGGGGGACGGAGAAGGCUAUGUUGGCCGGGCGACGGUUGUCCCGGUUUAAGCGUGUAGGCUGGUUUUCCAGGCAAAUCCGGAAAAUCAAGGCUGAGGCGUGAUGACGAGGCACUACGGUGCUGAAGCAACAAAUGCCCUGCUUCCAGGAAAAGCCUCUAAGCAUCAGGUAACAUCAAAUCGUACCCCAAACCGACACAGGUGGUCAGGUAGAGAAUACCAAGGCGCUUGAGAGAACUCGGGUGAAGGAACUAGGCAAAAUGGUGCCGUAACUUCGGGAGAAGGCACGCUGAUAUGUAGGUGAAGUCCCUCGCGGAUGGAGCUGAAAUCAGUCGAAGAUACCAGCUGGCUGCAACUGUUUAUUAAAAACACAGCACUGUGCAAACACGAAAGUGGACGUAUACGGUGUGACGCCUGCCCGGUGCCGGAAGGUUAAUUGAUGGGGUUAGCGGUAACGCGAAGCUCUUGAUCGAAGCCCCGGUAAACGGCGGCCGUAACUAUAACGGUCCUAAGGUAGCGAAAUUCCUUGUCGGGUAAGUUCCGACCUGCACGAAUGGCGUAAUGAUGGCCAGGCUGUCUCCACCCGAGACUCAGUGAAAUUGAACUCGCUGUGAAGAUGCAGUGUACCCGCGGCAAGACGGAAAGACCCCGUGAACCUUUACUAUAGCUUGACACUGAACAUUGAGCCUUGAUGUGUAGGAUAGGUGGGAGGCUUUGAAGUGUGGACGCCAGUCUGCAUGGAGCCGGCCUUGAAAUACCACCCUUUAAUGUUUGAUGUUCUAACGUUGGCCCCUGAUCGGGGUUGCGGACAGUGUCUGGUGGGUAGUUUGACUGGGGCGGUCUCCUCCUAAAGAGUAACGGAGGAGCACGAAGGUUGGCUAAUCCUGGUCGGACAUCAGGAGGUUAGUGCAAUGGCAUAAGCCAGCUUGACUGCGAGCGUGACGGCGCGAGCAGGUGCGAAAGCAGGUCAUAGUGAUCCGGUGGUUCUGAAUGGAAGGGCCAUCGCUCAACGGAUAAAAGGUACUCCGGGGAUAACAGGCUGAUACCGCCCAAGAGUUCAUAUCGACGGCGGUGUUUGGCACCUCGAUGUCGGCUCAUCACAUCCUGGGGCUGAAGUAGGUCCCAAGGGUAUGGCUGUUCGCCAUUUAAAGUGGUACGCGAGCUGGGUUUAGAACGUCGUGAGACAGUUCGGUCCCUAUCUGCCGUGGGCGCUGGAGAACUGAGGGGGGCUGCUCCUAGUACGAGAGGACCGGAGUGGACGCAUCACUGGUGUUCGGGUUGUCAUGCCAAUGGCACUGCCCGGUAGCUAAAUGCGGAAGAGAUAAGUGCUGAAAGCAUCUAAGCACGAAACUUGCCCCGAGAUGAGUUCUCCCUGACUCCUUGA